GAUAAACGCUGGCGGCGUGCCUAAUACAUGCAAGUCGAUCGCUGGAAACCUAGCUUGCUAGGUGGAAGGAGAGGCGAACGGGUGAGUAAUACAUAAGCAACCUGCCUACAAAGACUGGGAUAAUCCCUGGAAACGGGGACUAAAACCGGAUAGGUAACGAGACCACAUGAUCUUGUUAUUAAAGGUGAGAAACACUAGUAGAUGGGCUUAUGGUGCAUUAGUUAGUUGGUGAGGUAACGGCCCACCAAGACGAUGAUGCAUAGCCGGGCUGAGAGGCUGAACGGCCACAUUGGGACUGAGACACGGCCCAGACUCCUACGGGAGGCAGCAGUAGGGAAUUUUCGGCAAUGGGGGAAACCCUGACCGAGCAACGCCGCGUGAGUGAUGAAAGUCUUCGGAUUGUAAAGCUCUGUUAUAAGGGAAGAACGUCCUGGAUAGGAUCCAGGAGUGACGGUACCUUAUCAGAAAGCUACGGCUAACUACGUG
rnacentral:rRNA from 1 species